rnacentral:rRNA from 1 species
AACGAACGCUGGCGGCAUGCCUAACACAUGCAAGUCGAACGAGACCUUCGGGUCUAGUGGCGCACGGGUGCGUAACGCGUGGGAACCUGCCCUUAGGUUAGGAAUAACUCCCCGAAGGGGAUGCUAAUACCGGAUAAUGUCUUCGGACCAAAGAUUUAUCGCCUUUGGAUGGGCCCGCGUUGGAUUAGCUAGUUGGUAGGGUAAAAGCCUACUAAGGCGACGAUCCAUAGCUGGUCUGAGAGGAUGAUCAGCAACACUGGGACUGAGACACGGCCAAGACUCCUACGGGAGGCAGCAGUGGGGAAUAGUGGACAAGGGGCGAGAGGCUGAUCCAGCAAUGCCGCGUGAGUGAUGAAGGCCUUAGGGUUGUAAAGCUCUGUUGCCCGGGAUGAUAAUGACAGUACCGGGAGAAUAAGCUCCGGCUAACUCCGUG